GGUGAACGCUGGCGGCGUGCCUAAGACAUGCAAGUCGAGCGGGGCAGGUUUAUACCUGUUCAGCGGCGGACGGGUGAGUAACGCGUGGGUGACCUACCCGGAAGAGGCGGACAACCUGGGGAAACCCAGGCUAAUCCGCCAUGUGGUCCUGUCCUGUGGGGCAGGACUAAAGGGUGGAUAGCCCGCUUCCGGAUGGGCCCGCGUCCCAUCAGCUAGUUGGUGGGGUAAAGGCCCACCAAGGCGACGACGGGUAGCCGGUCUGAGAGGAUGGCCGGCCACAGGGGCACUGAGAACCGGGCCCCACACCCACGCGAGACAGCAGUGAGAAAUCUUCCGGAAUGGGCGCAAGCCUGACGGGGCGACGCCGCUUGGAAGAGGAAGCCCUUCGGGGUGUAAACUCCUGAACUGGGGACGAAAGCCCCGUGUAGGGGGAUGACGUUCCCCAGGUAAUAGCGCCGGCCAACUCCGUG
rnacentral:rRNA from 1 species